rnacentral:lncRNA from 13 species
GGAUAAACAAAUGAGUGAACUUUGUAAAACACUGAUCUGACACCAGGAGAUUGAGUCCAGGACUUACUACUAAAAGUGUCAGAGUAACACAUUAGCACUAACCCUGAAAGCUAAAAAACAAACAAACAAACAAAAAAACAUCUCUGAACUCUAGGCUUCCUUGAAAGUAAAAGCACUUUUGAUAUUUGGUCUCCAGCCUCCCACGUAGGUAGAGAGUCACAGUCCUGACCUAUUUUCAGGGUGGUGAUGGAAGCUUCACCACAGAAAAAGAGUCCUGUUUUCUGCGGUUGUUUGCUUGGAAAAGCAAUAAUGACCUCCAUGAACCUUGCAUCAAAACUUCAACUCUUUCCUUCUAGAACAGUUUCUGAUGUGAGGACCAAUAUCACUGCAUCAUUAUGACUGAUGAUCAUUUGUGGAGUAAACAAAAAACAGCAUCCCAGGAUGCACUACUUCCACAAUAUCUUCUGUCUCUGGAGCCAGUUGCCACAUUGCAAACAUGGCAACAAAUGAACUGAUGAUAGCAUCUGCUUAAUCUGGCUUUUGUCCACAUGUCACAACUGUAAUGUUGUUAAUUGAGACUUUUGAUUUGCUCUAGUCUAGUUUCUUCAUGUCCUACUCUGCAAACUGAGCUUAAUUUAAUCAAUGUUGACUGAAAAGCUGUCAGCUUUAAUGGUACUACAUCUUUUUAUCUUUAAUGUUUAAGAAACAUACAAAACAAAUGUUGUCUUAAUCUGAAAUGGUUAGUUUUUUUUGACAUCACAUAAAUAUACCAAGAUUGUGUCUGCUAUUUGUUAAAAAUUAAGAACUUACACUUGAUGAAAUUUUAUAAAGUAUCUAGAAAGACUUUAAUAUCUGAUAGCCUGACAUACAUUUUUAUGCUAAUGGAAAAGUCAAUGAAGUAGUAAGAGUAUGGCUUUAUCCUGAAUGAUUUCAGCAUUCGUUUAACUUAUGAAACAACCAGUUAAGCUAUUUCAUUUAAAUUUAAAAAUAAUGUUUAAUUCUGGAGAUGAAUGACAGAUAAUUCAGUAAGAACUUACUCUCAUCUUUUUACUGGUUAAACUAAUGAAAAUUAUGAGUUGUACUAAGAGAAAAUAAAUGGUCUACCUAAACUACGAGAGAAAUCA